rnacentral:rRNA from 1 species
CCUGUCUCAGUUCGGAUUGGAGGCUGAAACCCGCCUCCAUGAAGCUGGAUUCGCUAGUAAUCGCGCAUCAGCCAUGGCGCGGUGAAUACGUUCCCGGGCCUUGUACACACCGCCCGUCAAGCCAUGGGAGCCGGGGUGCCUGAAGUUCGUGACCGCAAGGAGCGACCUAGGGCAAAACUGGUGACUGGGGCUAAGUCGUAACAAGGUACC